CAAUUAAAUGUCCUUAUAUGGGUUGGCCUUGGUCAUGGUGUCUGUUCACAGCAGUAAAAACCUAAGACAGGGGUAAUAACAGAAACCUCCACCCCUGCUUCUUACAUAGCAACAGCAUCCAACCUGGACCCAUUGCUGUCCUGUUAGAGGCUCCAUUUACUAGGUUCCAUUUUAGCCAGUGAAGCCCAUGGGCAGAAUAGCAUUAGACGCCAUCUGCCUUCAGGAGGAAAGCUGGCCCUCCCCUGCCUCCUUUCUCUGAUGGACUUCUUGUGUUUGUGGUUUGACCAUGGCCACCAGAUGGCAAGGCAGAGAGGAAAGACCAUGUUUGACUGACUAUGGGAUAGAGCUGCCACAUAGUGAGGCCUGCUCACUUCUGGUCUGAGAUGCAGACCUAUAAAUGUCCUUAUAAGGGUUGGCCUUGGUCGUGGUGCUUUGGGGCCUGAGGGUACUGUUAGGUCAGCAUCUUAGUGUAACUCUUCAAUGACACAGCGGCACAACUUCUACAGGCAUCUUGGAAAAAUAAAGAGAAGUCCUACUGGAUUUUUAAUUUGGCUUUUUCUGCAUUGUAAACCCCCAUCUUCUGGCUUGUGGUGAGCUCUGUUUAAAAUGUAAAUAAGCCUGUACACGUGAAACCACUGUGGAAGUCGGGAGAAGAAACUCGUUUGUAUAGAGGGACUGCACUGCACCCGAGGGAACGUGCGCUGGAGAAGCCCUGAGGCAGAUAGCCCAACAGCAGCCAGAACUCCAUGUCACAGAUCUCACCACAAUGGCAGCCCACGGAAUCCUGGGUGAGACGCUGGCCUUUGGACAGGAUCCAGAACAGAAGGGCCACUCACUUCUGUCUGGGUGAGAGGGGGCAGGACAACCGAAGUAGCCACCGGGGCCAGAGCAGGCAGGAAACUGGAAACCACAGAGUCUGCCUGAGUGACACAUGCCUCCCCUCCACCGCUACAUCUUUGUAACUUUGGAGCAGAGUUAUUGCUGUGACAGCAUUCUUCUGUACUCUGAGGUGCUAACAGCAGCCGCACUCCCUCAGUCUUUCUGCCACCCCGCUGGGACUCAGUCCUGUUAGGGCUGUGACAGCAUUCUUCUGCACUCUGAAGUGCCAACAGCAGCCGCACUCCCUCAGGCUUGGGACUCAGUCUUGGGACUUUGGGCAAUCUCAAAGAGGAGGAGACUCAACCAAUCUCCCUGAGCAAGAUGCAGAACUCUCAGUUCCUUCUCCAGCACCGUGUCCGCCUGCAUGUCACCAUGCUUCCUGCCAUGAUGAUGACAGACUAAACCUCUGAACUGUAAGCCAGCCCCAAUGAAAUGGUUUCCUUUAUAAGAGUUGCCGUGGCCAUGGUGUCUCUUUGAAGCAAUAGAAACUCUGAGACAUACCCCUAACAUCAUGAGCUCCUUCCGGUGGGUGCUCUACCUCAGUCUGUCCUCAACGUAGGUUCUACCUCAGGCUAUCCUCAACGUAGGUUCUUCCUGCUUUAUCCAGUGGGUGUGUUGGGACAGCUGGAGUCCCUUAUGUCCAACUGCUGCCUCUGGGAUGAGAAUAGAUACCAUUGUCUAUGCCUUGGGCCUGUGAAGGCCUUUCCCCCUUGCAGAGACCUCAUCGGGUAAAAAAAAACACUGAACACCUAGAGGACCAAGUAUUUUCUUUGUGUGAAUGUCUCAUUUUAGACAGAGUGAUUCAUCUUCUAACCCCCUUUAUUACAUUGUCUCCUAUAAGACUGAAGACAUCUGGAAUGACAGAUGAACUUGGUAGGGUCUCCUUUCGCCCAGCCAAGUAAUGAAGAAAAUAAUAAAGAAAAUCUUGGACCAUAAACUAGGCCCAAGCUUCACAAAGACCUCCUACCCUUAAGUUUAAUUAAAAACAAAACAGUUUAUCCAGAAAAGCAAUUCCUGGGCCUGGUACCAGGCCCUCCCCAUUCCCUGCUCUCCACUGUGAAAUGAUUCUCAGACUCUGCCAGGCCUUGUUAGGUACUGAACCACAAGGUCUGGAAGCUCUAAUCUCACAGACCCCAAAAGGUUUGCUCUCACCUUUUUGAUGUAGAAAUGAGUCUAUGCUUUCAUUUUCCUUUGCUGACUUAUUUCUUACAAGGAUUACCUCCCUAAAAUCUCACGGCCUUAUGAGGGUGCUUCUUCUGUUAUCCCACCUCAUAAAAAUUGUGAUUUUUUUUUUUAAACAGAACAGAGAAUUUAACAACCAGAGUUGCGCUAUAGCUCAGUAGUGCAGUGUUUGCCCAGUUUGACUGAAGACUUGGGUUCAAACCUUGGCAUAAGAAAAUCGAAAUGAAAACACAGACCGCUUAAAACCAGGCAAGGUGACACAUGCCCAUAAUUCUAAUACCUGGGAGACUAAAACAAGAGGAUCAUUUAAAGUUCAAGACCAGCCUAAGCUACAAGACAGUGUACCAAAAGAAAACAAAAUAGAAGCCAAGCAGUGUGUUAAAUAUUACCACAGUUUUAAGUUUCAGGUGUCUUGACCUAUGGCCUUUAUUUGCUUGCAUUCUGUUCUCUGGUCACUAAAUGGGUCUUUUGGGUGACAACUAGAUACAUUUUCUUUGGGCCCAGAACUGGUUUGUCAACACAAAGUGAUGUUACGGUACCCGUACCACGUCAUGAUGCAUUUUACACAUGUUCAGCAAAAUGGCUUCGGGUACCUGUGUGAGUGGAAAACUCCCCUAUGGAAAGGAAGCCUUGACUUGGACUGACUCAUUCACACUGAAGUCACCUAAUGGUGACAGCAGGCUCCCUUUUUGAUGUGGCUUCCCUCUCAGGCUUAUCUUGUCAAACUGUCAAAGAGAAAUAAAGUUCCUUCCAUUUGACUCAAUCCCUACUGGCCUUGGCUGUAACACCAUGGAAGGCAGAGAAAUGUCAAAGCCCCCUGAGGGAACAUGGGAGAACUUGCUCGCUGAGCUGUCAAGAUGGCUGAGAACCUGACCAUCUGCUACGUGGAGAUGGACACUCUUAAAGAGCUGGGUGGGCUCUGUCAAACUGACCAAUGGGCACAGAGCAUUGCCAGGAAGGAAAUGCAGAAUUAUAAGUUCAUCACAAGUCUCUCAGGCCUGUGUACCACUGCCCCUUGCCCCCUGUCCCCUCCCAUGCUCCUUCCUUCUUGCUGGUCCUUUUCCCAUCCAAACAGCCUUAUCUUAUUAUCUUAUUAUGUAUGUACCUGCAUAUAUAAAUCUGGGCUCUGCAUAUAAGAAAGAACAUACAAUAUAUGUCUUUCCAAGUCGGGCUUAUUUUACUUACCAUCUUCAGUUCCAUCUAUUUUCCUGUCAAUAACGUAGUUUCAGUCUUGACAGCUGAGUAAAAUGUCAUUGUGUAAAUAGAAAAAGAAAAAAAAAACAAAAAAAUUAAAGGCCACUUCAUUGGUGUUUUGGUUUUUUGGGUUUGGGGUUUUUAAAUUUUGCUUUGUUUU